AUUGAACGCUGGCGGCAUGCCUAACACAUGCAAGUCGAGCGGAGCGGCGGACGGGUGAGUAAUGCCUAGGAAGCUGCCUGGUAGUGGGGGAUAACGUCCGGAAACGGGCCCGAAUAUCGCAUACUAUCAGAUGAGCCUAGGUCGGAGUGGCUGGUUGGGGGGGUAAAGGGCUACAAGGGCGACGAUCCGUAACUGGUCUGAGAGGAUGAUCAGGCACACUGGAACUGCGACACGGGCCAGACGCCUACGGUAGGCAGCAGUGGGGAAGAUUGGACAAUGGGCGAAAGCGUGAUCGAGCCAUGCCGCGUGUGUGAAGAGGGUCUUAGGAUUGUAAAGCACUUUAAGUUUGGAGGCGUUACCAACAGAAUAAGCACCGGCUAACUUCGUGCCAGCAGCCGCGGUAAUUC
rnacentral:rRNA from 1 species